UCGCAUACUGCAUGUAUUUUC
rnacentral:piRNA from 1 species